rnacentral:rRNA from 1 species
CAAGUCGAGCGAUGAGACUCCUACGGGAGCACAUCAGCGGCAGACGGGUGAGUAACACGUAGAUGACGUACCCUCAAGACGGGGAUAACGGAUGGAAACAUGUGCUAAUACCGGAUGACCUUACGAUGUCAGAAUGGUAAGGAAAGCUACGGCGCUUGAGGAGCGGUCUGCGGCCCAUCAGCUAGUUGGUAGGGUAAAGGCCUACCAAGGCGAAGACGGGUAGGGGGUGUGAGAGCACGGNCCCCCACAAUGGGACUGAGACACGGCCCAUACUCCUACGGGAGGCAGCAGCAGGGAAUAUUGCACAAUGGACGGAAGUCUGAUGCAGCGACGCCGCGUGAGUGAAGAAGGCCUUCGGGUUGUAAAACUCUUUUGAGGGGGAAGAGCGAGGACGGUACCCCUGGAAUAAGCGUCGGCUAACUACGUGCCAGCAGCCGCGGUAAGACGUAGGACGCGAGCGUUAUCCGGAUUUACUGGGCGUAAAGCGUCUGUAGGCGGAUGUGUAAGUUGGGCGUGAAAGCUCCGGGCUUAACCCGGGGAGGCCGUUCAAUACUGCAUAACUUGAGGGUGUCAGAGGGGAGCGGAAUUCCCGGUGUAGCGGUAAAAUGCGCAGAGAUCGGGAGGAACACCAGUGGCGGAGGCGGUUCCCUGGGGCACACCUGACGCUGAGAGACGAAAGCUAGGGGAGCGAACAGGAUUAGAGACCCUGGUAGUCCUAGCCCUAAACGAUG